CCUGGUUGAUCCUGCCAGUAGCAUAUGCUUGUCUCAAAUAUUAAGCCAUGCACGUGUAAGUACACACAGCGGUACACUGAAACUGUGAAUGGCUCAUUAAAUCAGUUACGGUUCCUUUGAUUGCUCCAUCUGUUACUUGGAUAACAGGUUAUACUAGAGCUAAUACAUGGCGACAAGCGCAGGCCUUCCGGGAUGCAUGCAUUUAUCAGACCAAGACCAAUCUGGGCUCGCCGGGCGCUUUGGUGACGCUAGAUAACCUCGGGCCGAUCGGAUGUGUGCCCUAUCAACUUUCGAUGGUACUUUCUGUGCCUACCAAGGUGACCACGGGUAAUGGGGAAUCAGGGUUCGAUUCCAGAGAGCCUGAGAAACGGCUACCACACCCAAGGAAGGCAGCAGGUGCGCAAAUUACCCACUCCCGACUCCGGGAGGUAGUGACGAAAAAUUACAAUACAGGACUUUUUCGAGGCACUGUAAUUGGAAUGAGUGCUCUUUAAAUCCUUUAACGAGUACCCAUUGGAGGGCAAGUCUGAUGCCAGCAGCCACAGUAAUUAACAAGUACCCAUCGGAGGGGCAUGUCUGAUGCCAGCAGCCACGGUAAUUCCAGCUCCAAUAGCAUAUAUUAAAGUUGCUUCAGUUAAAAAGCUUGUAGUUGGAUCUUGGGAUCGAGCUGGCGGUCUGCCGCGAGGUGAGCUACUGCCUGUCCCUGCCCCUUGGCGCCCCCUUGAUGCUCUUGCCUGAGUGUCCUGGGGGUCCGAAGCGUUUACUUUGAAAAAAUGAGUGUUCAUAGCAGGCCGGUCACCUGAAUACUUCAGCUAGGAAUAAUGGAAUAGGACACCGGUUCUAUUUUGUUGGUUGUCGGAACUGGGGCCAUGAGACGGCCGGGGGCACUCGUAUUGUGCCGCUACAGGUGAAAUUCUUGGACCGGCGCAAGACGAACCAAAGAGAAAGCAUUAGCCAAGAAUGUUUUCAUUAAUCAAGAACGAAAGUCUGAGGUUCAAAGAUGAACCGAUACCGUCGUAGCUCCGACCAUAAACUAUGCAGAAUAGCGAUCUGGCAGUGUUUUUCCCAUGACCCGCCUAGCAGCUUCUGCAAAACCAAAGUCUUUGGUUUCCGGGAGAGUAUGGUUGCAAAGCUGAAACUUAAAGGAAUUGACGGAAUGGCACCACCAGGAAACCUCACCCCGGCCCAGACACAGAAAGGAUUGACAGAUUGAUAGUUCUUUCUUGAUUCUGUGGGUGGUGGUGCAUGGCCGUUCUUAGUUGGUGGAGCGAUUUGUCUGGUUAAUUCCGAUUACGAAAGAGACUCCUCAAUGCUAACUAGUCCCUGCCCUUUGUACACACUGCCCGUCGCUACUACUGAUUGGAUGGUUUAGUGAGGUCCUUGGAUUGGCCCCGCCGGGGGCGGCAACGGCGAGAAGACUAUCAAACUUGACUAUCUAGAGGAAGCAAAAGUCAUACGGGUUGGGUUAGCCUGCCGGGAUGUCCCCU
rnacentral:rRNA from 1 species